rnacentral:rRNA from 1 species
UACGGAGGGUGCAAGCGUUGUUCGGAAUUAUUGGGCGUAAAGGGCAGGUAGGUGGUCUUGAAAGUCUGCUGUGAAAUCCCCGAGCUUAACUUGGGAAGUGCGGCAGAUACUCCAAGACUAGAGUACUGGAGGGGUUCGUGGAAUUCCCGGUGUAGCGGUGAAAUGCGUAGAUAUCGGGAGGAACAUCUGUGGCGAAGGCGACACCCUGGGCCAUACCUGACGCUAAAGCGCGACAGCAUGGG